rnacentral:lncRNA from 1 species
CAAAACCUUAGGAAAUUUUUUAUACUCAAUGGAAGUUGUCUAUUUACAGCAUUGGUGCAUGGAAAUGAGUAAUAAAUCAAUCAGCGUUUGCCAUCGGUUAGCAGAAUCUUUGUGCUAA